UGAGCAACCUGCCCUUAGCUUUGGGAUAACCCUCGGAAACGGGGGCUAAUACCGAAUGUUCACUGCCGGGCGCAUGUUUGGUGGUGGAAAGGUUUUCGGCUGGGGAUGGGCUCGCGGCCUAUCAGCUUGUUGGUGGGGUGAUGGCCAACCAAGGCGAUGACGGGUAGCCGGCCUGAGAGGGCGACCGGCCACACUGGGACUGAGACACGGCCCAGACUCCUACGGGAGGCA
rnacentral:rRNA from 1 species